rnacentral:rRNA from 1 species
AAGUCGAGCGAAUGGAUUGAGAGCUUGCUCUCAAGAAGUUAGCGGCGGACGGGUGAGUAACACGUGGGUAACCUGCCCAUAAGACUGGGAUAACUCCGGGAAACCGGGGCUAAUACCGGAUAACAUUUUGAACUGCAUGGUUCGAAAUUGAAAGGCGGCUUCGGCUGUCACUUAUGGAUGGACCCGCGUCGCAUUAGCUAGUUGGUGAGGUAACGGCUCACCAAGGCAACGAUGCGUAGCCGACCUGAGAGGGUGAUCGGCCACACUGGGACUGAGACACGGCCCAGACUCCUACGGGAGGCAGCAGUAGGGAAUCUUCCGCAAUGGACGAAAGUCUGACGGAGCAACGCCGC